rnacentral:rRNA from 1 species
UGGGGAAUAUUGGACAAUGGGCGGAAGCCUGAUCCAGCAACGCCGCGUGAGGGAUGACGGCCUUCGGGUUGUAAACCUCUUUCAGUACCGACGAAGUUCUGCUUUUGGUGGGGUGACGGUAGGUACAGAAGAAGCACCGGCCAACUACGUGCCAGCAGCCGCGGUAAUACGUAGGGUGCGAGCGUUGUCCGGAAUUAUUGGGCGUAAAGGGCUCGUAGGCGGUUUGUCGCGUCGGGAGUGAAAACAUCCAGCUUAACUGGGUGCUUGCUUUCGAUACGGGCAGACUUGAGGUAUGCAGGGGAGAAUGGAAUUCCUGGUGUAGCGGUGAAAUGCGCAGAUAUCAGGAGGAACACCGGUGGCGAAGGCGGUUCUCUGGGCAUUACCUGACGCUGAGGAGCGAAAGUGUGGGGAGCGAACAGG